UUGAUCACAUUUUUUAUUGUAGUGUAGCGUAUAGUUUAACACUAAAACCAUCGAAAACAAACGUGUUGUUAUUUCUAUUGAAAAUUAA
rnacentral:sRNA from 1 species